UGCAAAAAAUGUGGAACGCUUCACGAUUUUGCGUGUCAUCCUUGCGCAGGGGCCAUGCUAAUCUUCUCUGUAUCGUUCCAAUUUUAGUAUAUGUACUGCCGAAGCAAGUACGAAAGUGGGAUUCUAUAACGUUGCUUAUAUACUAAGUACUACAUUCGAAGGCGCUAGCGAGAAACAGAAAGUUAUACAUAUUUUCGCCACCUAGCGGUGAAAUUAGGCAUUUGCAAUGUAACCUGAAAAACAGGCAUGGAGUACACUAGUUCAGUUGCGGUGGGGUAUCGAAUACUAAUAACUUUGGAAAUCUGUUAGGAAUUAUGCGACUGAAAGGAUGGAGAUAUGGUGUGUUUGUCGGAAGCUUCGUUGGACUUAUAAGUAUAUGCUGUUAUGCUUCCAUGAUAAGACCCAUGUUAAAUCCCGAACCGUAUAAGAGAAUUCGAGAACGAGCCUUUUCAGACAGACCUGUAUGAUUAAAGUCUGGAAAUUUUUAUAAAAAUACUUAGAAAAAUUCUGUAUAAAGGAUAAGUGAUAGAUAUAAAAUUAAAAUGGAUUAUUUGUUGUACAAAAUAAAUGUUAAUAUUUAUUAAAA